GACGAACGCUGGCGGCGUGCUUAACACAUGCAAGUCGAACGGAAAGGCCCUGCUUUUGUGGUGUGCUCGAGUUGCUAACGGGUGAGUAACGCGUGAGAAACCUGCCCUUUACUUUGGGAUAACUUCAGUAAACUUGGGCUAAUACCGGAUAUUAGCUCCUGCUGCAUGGUGGGGGUUGUGAGGUUUCGGCGGUUGGUGAUGGACUCGGGGCUUAUCAGCUUGUUGGUGGGGUAGUGGCUUAGCAAGGCGUUGACGGGUAGGGGGCCUGAGAGGGUGACCGGCCAAAUUGGGACUGAGAUACGGCCCAGACUCCUACGGGAGGCAGCAGUGGGGAAUAUUGCACAAUGGGCGGAAGCCUGAUGCAGCAACGCCGCGUGCGGGAUGACGGCCUUCGGGUUGUAACCCGCUUUCGCCUGUGACGAAGCGUGAGUGACGGUAAUGGGUAAAGAAGCACCGGCUAACUACGUG
rnacentral:rRNA from 1 species